rnacentral:lncRNA from 1 species
AAGUCUUACCUUUGCCCAGGACACUGCAGCAGCCCCAGCCCCUUGCUCCUACGUCUCUAUCCAUGGGGAAGAUGGGAUCGCUCGCUCUUUUGGAAAAUAACCUCACUUUGACAAGUCUAUUCCUGACAGUGAUUUCUCAGAGACCAAAAGCAAGAAUAAAGGGAAGAAAGAGGUUGGUAUCAGGUAACUUAAACUAACAAAAUGAACAUUGAAGGACAUAGUGUGGAAGAAGGAGCCCUGCCAGGAAACACAUUGGAGCAAGUGUGUUUUAUUCUGGUAGCAGAAAGGACACAAUGGCACUGGGACCCUUCAAUCCAAGGACAGCAUCUCUAGAGGAGACCUUUGCUGUCCUUAGGCUGCAGAUAGGAUACAGUUCAAGAACAGUGUUUUAUUAGUGGCGUUUGGUCAUUGGAAAGGACCCGGAAGUGUUGAGUGGUAAGUGCUUGCCUAGGAUGUGGGGGGCAUAGGUUCAGUUCCCGGCAACACACACACACAGAUGAUCAAGUGUAGGAAGGGGAAAUGCUCAGAAUGUUCUCUGGCCUUACUUUUAUUCUCAUAUAAUGAACAUCUUACAACUUACAUGACCUUCAUUAUUACUUUUAAAGAUGCAUUUCAUGUGCUAAGACUUCUGAGAUUGCCAUUUUCCCCGGGGCCAGGUUAGAAGACAUUGCCUUUUGACACCAGCAGCCAUUCUGUCUUCGUUCUAACAAGGACUAGCGUCUUGAGUUUGCUUUUGUUCUUGACUUGGCCAUGUGUUAGAUCUGAAUCAAAAGAACUAAGAAGUGUGGGGCAAAAUAUGUCUGGUUCUGGUAUGUUUGUAGACAGAUCAUUGGGUCUGUCUCAGUCAGGGACCUGAGUGUUGUGUUAGAACAGUAGUGUUGUCAACAGGGACAACAGAAGGCGCCAUAGAGCAGGCCUUUGAUCCUCCCGAGGAAGAGUCAAUUAGUUCUCUGAGCUCAAGGCUAGCCAGGGCAACACAGUGAAAUUCUGUCUCAGAAAAUAAAAAAUAGUGUUGCUUAUAUUUGAAAUUAGUAUUUUAAAGAGCCACACAAAACUUUGAAGUUAGAUUAUUGUAGCUAAUGACAAACAUGGCUGCUAUCUGAAAGUAUAACUGCAUUGCUGCAAUGCUGCAUGACUCCUAAUUACACAGUUAACUAAGAAGGCAGGAAUGACGAGCCCAGAGUGAUGUCACUCAUGAGAGGUUAGAGGCACUUUUUUGGGGAUAGUUGAUAUCCUUGGAAUGUCUUAUUUCAAGGACCUCUACUUUUUCUUAGGUUUAUAAACUAGGUAUGAAAAGAACGAAAAAUGAUCCGGUUAUCCAGGUUAUCAAGAUGUUUGUCUUUAACGAGGCACACACUGUAUCUGUCAUGGAGCCCCUGUGAACUGUAGGCUUCAUGAGAUGCCAGUGGAACUGAGUAGAUGUUAGAGAAAUUGGUCAGAGUAGAAACACCCAGAAGUACAGUGUUAACACUUGACAGUGCCAGUGAAAGUGACCCUCCACUCCCAGUGCUGGACUGAAGGGAAUUAAAGUGCAACCUGUGGGCUGGGGAGUGGAGCUCGGCUGUGAGUGCUCACCUGCAUGAACCUCUGCGUUUGACCCUUGGCACCUCAUAAACUGGGCAGAGUGGCACUUGCCUGUAAUCCCAGUUCUUAGAAAAUAGAGGCAGGAGAUUGAGAAGUUCACAGUGGUCCUCUGCUUCAUAUCAAGUUCAAAGCCACCCUGGGGGAUGCAAGACCCUGAAUCAAGGAAAAAUACUGUGGAAAUUGCUCUUGCCUGUUCUGACAACAAAAUUCACAAGCUAGGAUGCAUGAGAAGUCUGUCUGACUACUCCCUAAUGUCUGUUUCAACCUUGCAGCUAACUUGUUGUUUUUGCCUCCUUUCCAGAUACCGGUCGGUUGUAACACAGGCUCCCUGUCACACUGCUAAGCGCUGAGGGCUCUCUGAUUUGAAAGGAUCUUUCUGUGUACAUUGUGCCUUUGAUGGGAAUGUUCUGCUGAACCUGCAGACUAAAACUGAGCUCAGUGACACAGCCUUUUCUCACGCUCCUCCUUAAAUCUGAGCUGAGACAUGUGACAUGCGACUCACUUCCUCUGUAAAAUUGAGUUCUGGUUUGUUUUUCCUUUUUUUUUUUUUUUGUUUUUUUG